rnacentral:tRNA from 1 species
CGUCGUCGUGGCGGAUGGCGAACCGCACGCCCAUCCCGGCGUGAAGAGUGCUCACGCCUUGACGCGGUUCGACGCCCCGAACAGCGC